UACAGAGGUCUCAAGCGUUGUUCGGAUUCAUUGGGCGUAAAGGGUGUGUAGGUGGCGCGCUAAGUCGGGUGUGAAAUUUCGGAGCUUAACUCCGAAACUGCAUUCGAUACUGGCGUGCUUAGGGACUGGAGAGGAGACUGGAAUUCAUGGUGUAGCAGUGAAAUGCGUAGAGAUCAUGAGGAAGACCAGUGGCGAAGGCGGGUCUCUGGACAGUUCCUGACACUGAGACACGAAGGCCAGGGGAGCAAACGGG
rnacentral:rRNA from 1 species